CCUACGUGUGGCUGCAGUGGGGGAUAUUGCACAAUGGGCGCAAGCCUGAUGCAGCGACACCGCGUGAGCGAAGAAGUAUUUCGGUAUGUAAAGCUCUAUCAGCAGGGAAGAAAAUGACGGUACCUGACUAAGAAGCUCCGGCUAAAUACGUGCCAGCAGCCGCGGUAAUACGUAUGGAGCAAGCGUUAUCCGGAUUUACUGGGUGUAAAGGGAGCGUAGGCGGGACUGUAAGUCUGCUGGGAAAAUUUGGGGCUCAACCCCAAACGUGCAUUGGAAACUGCAGGGCUUGAGUGCCGGAGAGGCAGGCGGAAUGCCUGGUGUAGCGGUGAAAUGCGUAGAUAUUACGAAGAACACCGGUGGCGAAGGCAGCCUGCUGGACGGUAACUGACGCUGAGGCUCGAAAGCGUGGGGAGCAAACAGGAUUAGAUACCCCAGUAGUC
rnacentral:rRNA from 1 species